GGACAGCUGAGAAGUCCGACAAUAGGACGAAACGGUCGUCCAGUGC
rnacentral:hammerhead_ribozyme from 1 species